AUUCUAGGCUCCGCGUCUCGCUGUCCCCACUCCGUCUCCUCCGGCUCCGUCUCAUCCCGAUGCCGCUCCUUCUCAUCGUCGUCGUCCCAGUCCCGGAGUCGCUCCCCUCCUCUGGCUAAGCGCAGGUCAAGCUACAUUCUGUGCUAUUCAAAGGCCCCAAGGAUGACGCAAUGGCAAUGACUAUCUACCAAUGGACAUCGUGGAGCUAUCUUCCGAUCAUUUGAUAGAGAAUAAACCUUUGCUGCUAAAGGAUGUCAAGUUCCAAAACGUACACGGGCUUACCAGUGCUUAUAGACCUUUGUUUGUUCGGGACACUACCUUUGCUAAUGGGGAACAGGCAAGGGGGAAAUCUUCUUAUAGAUAUGUUUCGUCACUGUGACAAUCAUUUGGGAGAGAAACAAGUAAACAACCCUUUUUUCCAUAAAACUCCAUCUGGAAGUGCACGACAGCCACUACAGUUGACUAACGAUGUAACCAAGAUGAUGCAAAAGCAUCAGCUGGAAACGCCACAGUUCCAUCAGACCCGAUUUUCCGUUUUACUGAAUGUACCGAGGAGCACAGAGAAAGAUGUCUCCUUUUUAAUUCCUCAUUCUUGGCUGCCUGCUAUGUUGGAUGAUCAGAUGUCAUUUCCAUCCCUAAGACAAACAAGAACUACAGGCUGCUUCCGUCUUCACCCAAUCAGGGAUGAGGAUGCCAAGUUCAAGCUCUGCAAUGGGAUGUCUGUUCAAUUUGACGUCGGCAACAUGGUCAUGGUGACCGGCGGGAGGAACACCGGGCGUGUAGGAGUGAUCAAGAACUGGGAGAAGCACAAGGGCAUCUUCGAGGUCAUCGACGUGCUGCUUGGAGCUUUUUGCAUGCUAUGUCUAGUUUUCUCAUAUUUGUUGUACAGGAAAACAUAGAAUGGAAUUCAAAUUUGGUGGUCGCAAAAGUGUGGAGACUUGAAUUCAUAUAAAGUUAGGCUUAACAUCAGUGCAAACAGUUAUAUUUUAGUUUAGAUUUAGAGUACACUUAUGUAUGCCUUGUUUGACAAUGCUUAUUUAUGAUAUAUUGAAUGGUACU